CCGGUGACAUAUCUCUAACAUUGUAGCUGUGAGGUGAUCUUUGUGUAAUUAUGAUGGAAGCACUCCGUCUCUGUGUAAUUAUACACCAGUUGUCAACAAACGAUGUAUAUUCUCCGUGAUGAAACGUUAAAACUGGAUGGCAUUGGAAUUAAAGAAAGUCUUUUAAAGAAGGAAAAUAUCUGUAUGUUCCAGUGAAAGGAGAAUAAUUCUAGAAAGUGGAUUGUGUAAGAACAAGCGUGGAAAGGUUGAUUUUACU